AGAGUUUGAUCCUGGCUCAGGACGAACGCUGGCGGCGUGCUUAACACAUGCAAGUCGAGCGAUGAAGCACCUUCGGGUGUGGAUUAGCGGCGAACGGGUGAGGAACACGUGAAGAAUCUGCCUUCAACUCUGGGAUAACUCCGGGAAACCGGGGCUAAUACCGGAUAUGAGCCUUGGCCGCAUGGCCGGGGCUGGAAAGUUUUUCGGUUGAAGAUGACUUCGCGGCCUAUCAGCUUGUUGGUGAGGUAACGGCUCACCAAGGCGACGACGGGUAGCCGGCCUGAGAGGGCGACCGGCCACACUGGGACUGAGACACGGCCCAGACUCCUACGGGAGGCAGCAGUGGGGAAUUUUGGACAAUGGGCGCAAGCCUGAUCCAGCCAUUCCGCGUGCAGGACGAAGGCCUUCGGGUUGUAAACUGCUUUUGUACGGAACGAAAAGGCUCUGGUUAAUACCUGGGGCUCAUGACGGUACCGUAAGAAUAAGCACCGGCUAACUACGUGCCAGCAGCCGCGGUAAU
rnacentral:rRNA from 1 species